GACGAACGCUGGCGGCGUGCUUAACACAUGCAAGUCGAACGAUGAACCCGGAGCUUGCUCCGGUGGAUUAGUGGCGAACGGGUGAGUAACACGUGAGUAACCUGCCCUUGACUCUGGGAUAACUGCGGGAAACUGUAGCUAAUACCGGAUACGACCCUCGGCGGCAUCGCCAGGGGGUGGAAAGAAUUUCGGUCAAGGAUGGACUCGCGGCCUAUCAGCUAGUUGGUGGGGUAACGGCUCACCAAGGCGACGACGGGUAGCCGGCCUGAGAGGGUGACCGGCCACACUGGGACUGAGACACGGCCCAGACUCCUACGUGAGGAAGCAGUGGGGUAUUUUGCACAAUGGGCGCAAGCCUGAUGCCGCAACGCUGCGUGAGGGAUGACGGCGUUCGGGUUGUAAACCUCUUUUAGUAGGGAAGAAGCGAAAGUGACGGCAGCUGCAGAAGCAGCACCGGCUAACUACGUGCCAGCCGCCGCAGUAA
rnacentral:rRNA from 1 species